rnacentral:rRNA from 1 species
UGGGGAAUAUUGGACAAUGGGCGCAAGCCUGAUCCAGCCAUGCCGCGUGAGUGAUGAAGGUCUUAGGAUUGUAAAGCUCUUUCACCGGUGAAGAUAAUGACGGUAACCGGAGAAGAAGCCCCGGCUAACUUCGUGCCAGCAGCCGCGGUAAUACGAAGGGGGCUAGCGUUGUUCGGAAUUACUGGGCGUAAAGCGCAUGUAGGCGGAUACUUAAGUCAGGGGUGAAAUCCCGCAGCUCAACUGCGGAACUGCCUUUGAUACUGGGUAUCUUGAGUAUGGAAGAGGUGAGUGGAAUUCCGAGUGUAGAGGUGAAAUUCGUAGAUAUUCGGAGGAACACCAGUGGCGAAGGCGGCUCACUGGUCCAUUACUGACGCUGAGGUGCGAAAAGCGUGGGGAGCAAAACAGGAUUAGAUACCCUGGUAGUCCACGCCGUAAACGAUGAAUGUUAGCCGUCGGGCAGUAUACUGUUCGGUGGCGCAGCUAACGCAUUAAAACAUUCCGCCUGGGGAGUACGGUCGCAAGAUUAAAACUCAAAUGAAUUGACGGGGUCAUAGCUGUUUCCU